GUCUAGCACUUUCCCCUCUGCAGGGAACUGCCUCCUUGAAACCUGAAACAGGGUUAGCUUGGGGCAAAGCAAAAUUGGCAUUUUCUGAAGGGAGAUUUUUUUUUCUUCCUGCUUUUCUCGCCUGGAAUCUAGAGACAGACUCCUUGGCUGGGUGCUAAAUGUUUUCACUGGGGAGAGGCCCUGUGUGGCUAAAUUCAGUUCCUCCCACCCUGAGAUAGUUCCUUGCUCUGACCUUCACCUGAAUUUAACAAAGCUGUGAAAUGGAAGGCAAGACUAGAAAAGACCAGCAAAGAGAGAAAGAAAAGAGUCAUUCAUUGCCACGUUGCGAGGAGCUCAGUGUCUGAUUACCAGGCGUUUGGUUGCUGCUUGGGCCCCAGCACUGGAAGGAGCAAUCUUGGGCUGGUGAAUAUUAACCUGCAGUUGUUAAGUGGAAAAUGUCAGAUUUGGAGAGAUGAGAAACAAGGUGGCCCAUGAGACUGGUUCUCAUCAGAGUGCAUGUGCCUCACUUAAGAGCAGUGGCACCUUUUCCACAGGCUCUCUUUUCUCGUCUGCCGGCCAAAUGGAGAGGAUUCCACAGACUCAGAAGAAGGUGGAACUGUAAGAAGGAACGAGCCUAGAUCCCUAAAUGACUGUGUGGAACAGAGCUUUAUUGCAAUCUUGCAUAAGACUGUGACAGAAAUGAGAAUAAACUUUUGUUGUGUUAAGCCA